rnacentral:piRNA from 1 species
UUUGAAUGAUGACUUGGAUUGUC